UGAAAAGAAAGAACAGAAUGGUCUUCUGUCUGUCCAGGAGGAGGCACUAGUGGUCCAUUUUGGGUGCAAAAAAGCACAGCAGAGCAAGCUAGGUGUUCAGCCCCUCAAGACCUGCAUAUUGGCCUCUUCCACAGGGGAGUCUUGUGAGGCCCAGAGAAAAGCCAGCCCCAGCGAGGAGUGGAGUCCUUUGUUAGUCAGCCAGAGUCAGACUCAUUGGUGCAUCUGCAUUCUGUUGGGAGUGAGCUGGGAUUCUUCAGGAUCUGUUAAGAUCCGUGCCUGGGCAGCUCUUACCAUGGUAGGUUGUUGGUCAAGCUGAAAAAGUCCGAAGACACUAACUUAAUAAUGUGCGAUUUAGGUGUCAUGGGUGCAUGUCUGGGUCACGUCUUUAACUGAGUGACACAGUGAACACAGUCAACACACAGGACUUCUUCAAAAUAAGCAGUGAAAUGCAAGCCACAGGACACAGGUGGAAACUAUGGGGCUCUGUGUUUAAAAGCGAGAAUAGUACACACUUCUUUACCCAAGCUGCCCAGCCAUGUGGCUGAAGCUUAUAUUUUGGCAGCAUUCAAGAAACAGACGGAAGAGAUCCUUGGAUCAAUUAACCACUAGCUAAUAAACCGGCUAAAUGGGCAGAAUGGCCUCCUCUCCUUUUUGACCUUUCUUAUGAUCCCUGCGGCCUCUCAGGCACUUGCAGGCAUGUGGUGCUGUGGGCGCGGUACGCACCUCUCCAGCCUGAUCCGCUGAUCCUCCGAAACGGGUCUGUGCUGCCUGUGACCUGUUAGCAGAUACUGUAGGUGGCUCGGAGGGGGCGGGGCAGAGGAGUUUGGCUGCACCUCCUCACUCUCUCCUGUGUGAGGUCACAGGGUUCGUAGCGAUCAGGUGGGAUGUCAAAAACACACAGUUCCAAAAUCCAGUGGGGAGAACAAAAUUAACUAUUCUAAUUUUUUGCAAAAAUAAAUGUUUACUGUGGUAUACUGUUGACUUGCAA
rnacentral:lncRNA from 1 species